rnacentral:rRNA from 1 species
AUUGAACGCUGGCGGCAGGCCUAACACAUGCAAGUCGAGCGGAUGAGAGGAGCUUGCUUCUUGAUUCAGCGGCGGACGGGUGAGUAAUGCCUAGGAAUCUGCCUGGUGGUGGGGGACAACGUUUCGAAAGGAACGCUAAUACCGCAUACGUCCUACGGGAGAAAGCAGGGGACCUUCGGGCCUUGCGCUAUCAGAUGAGCCUAGGUCGGAUUAGCUAGUUGGUGAGGUAAUGGCUCACCAAGGCGACGAUCCGUAACUGGUCUGAGAGGAUGAUCAGUCACACUGGAACUGAGACACGGUCCAGACUCCUACGGGAGGCAGCAGUGGGGAAUAUUGGACAAUGGGCGAAAGCCUGAUCCAGCCAUGCCGCGUGUGUGAAGAAGGUCUUCGGAUUGUAAAGCACUUUAAGUUGGGAGGAAGGGUUGUACGUUAAUACCGUGCAAUUUUGACGUUACCGACAGAAUAAGCACCGGCUAACUCUGUGCCAGCCGCCGCCGUAAUAC